GUUCGGGUGUGUCAUGGUUACGUGUAAUUUGGAAAAAGCGAGAAACCAAUGAACGACGACGAUUGAAACAAGAGCAAUACGCAAACAAGAUCGUCAUAAAAAUUUUCGGAAAUAAAUUUUGGCAAGAACAUCAAGAUAAACGUGAAAUUUCAGGAAUAUCAUCUCUAAAUUAACAGUAUCAAAUACCUUUCGCAUUUAUUACGAAAUCUUAACUUUUGAUUGAUAAGCAACUUUGUGAUUUACCGCAUUCACGGUUUCUUUCGGUCAUCGCGUUAGAAGACCAUACUUGGAUAAUAGCCGACUCCAUUACAAAUAUUUGUAUUAUCCUCGAAACUUCAAGUCGACAUCAUGGGUCAACAAGUGGGACGAAUGCCUGAUACUUGGGAAGAACUGAUUGAAGAAAGGGAUCGCGUUCUUCAUUGGAGCUCUGAAGUCAUAGCCAGAGUCGCUGAUAACAUACGUGAUGAGGAUACUUUCCUUAUGGAUUAUGAUAACACGAAAUUGGACGCUAAGGUCGAUUCGUGGAUAGAAAAUAAUAAGACGCGUAUAGAACCUACAAUUAGCAAAUUGCCAUCGUCCAAGUCAGAAUGCACCGAUUUAAUUUCUGCAGCAACUGCCAAGAUAUGCGAUGAGACUAAACAAAAAAUGCGUAAAGACUAUGAGAGCGCUUAUGGAGACUUGAAGAAAUUUACAAAAAGAGUGGACGAGCUUGGCCAGGAUGAACAAAAAAUUCACAAUGAGAUUCAACAGCUGGAAGGUAGUUGCGCCAAUGAUGUGAAGAAGUUUCAGAAGAAAUUCGGUCCCCUGCGUCUUAAAGUGUUUAACAAUCUCAGAACCGGUGAAAAAAUGCUCUUCGAAGACAAAAAACUCAAAACCGCGUUCACAAAGAAGAUUUACGAUAUCGAUCACAAAUACAUGAACGAUUGCGCCAAGAAGUUUGACAAGCUGACAAAAGACUACGAAAAAUGCGUGGCAGGAAAAUGAGACGUAGAGGGUUUACACGUCGAAUGGAAACAGCAUUUAUGAAUAAAGACCGUUCCUAAAGCGAUAACGUCUUCGUCGUCGUCUUCGCCGUCGCUAAAGAACUGACACCAGUAUUAGGAGAGUAUAAAACUGCCAAGAGUGUUUUCUAAAUCAACGACUCGCAGCCCCGACCUAGCCGUUAGAGAUCGUAGUACCAGGCAAACAUGAGAACACACAGUAUGACGAAUGAAAUGAAAUAAAAUGAAUACAGAAAGAACAUUAUAGCACAAAUCUACGUGAUAUAAUGGAAAAUCGCAUUUUUUCUCUAGAGGAAUUCAAUUUUUUUUUUAAAUUGUCAAAAAAAACACCGUACACGUGGACCGACUAUAGUCUUCAUAACCCAAGGAAAUUUCUAUGCUAAUAUGAAGUCUAGAGA